rnacentral:rRNA from 1 species
AAUAGAUACCCAGGUAGNUCCCGAACGCCGUAAACGAUGAGUGCUAAGUGUUAGAGGGUUUCCGCCCUUUAGUGCUGCAGCUAACGCAUUAAGCACUCCGCCUGGGGAGUACGGUCGCAAGACUGAAACUCAAAGGAAUUGACGGGGGCCCGCACAGGCGGUGGAGCAUGUGGUUUAAUUCGAAGCAACGCGAAGAACCUUACCAGGUCUUGACAUCCCACUGACCGGUAUAGAGAUAUACCUUUCCCUUCGGGGACAGUGGUGACAGGUGGUGCAUGGUUGUCGUCAGCUCGUGUCGUGAGAUGUUGGGUUAAGUCCCGCAACGAGCGCAACCCUUGAUCUUAGUUGCCAGCAUUUAGUUGGGCACUCUAAGGUGACUGCCGGUGACAAACCGGAGGAAGGUGGGGAUGACGUCAAAUCAUCAUGCCCCUUAUGACCUGGGCUACACACGUGCUACAAUGGAUGGUACAAAGGG